CUCGUGAUGCUUAAGGUAAAAGAGAGCAUUGAUACAUCCCAAGGUACAAGUUCAAUGUGCAAGUUUCAUGUAUAGGGGGGCUAGUUUUUGAACAGUUUUGAGUGCAUUAUGAGGAGCUGGAAUCUUAAAUGACCUAAGAUCACAAACUGUAGUGAUCGACUUUUUGUGUAAUAUAAAUCUUGCUGUUCAUGCGCCUCGA